UUUCCGUAAGUGAACCAGCGGAAGGAUCAUUAUCGAGUAACCGAGGCGCGAGGGCUUUGGCUGACUUACCUUUGUUGGCACGGCCGAAUGCCCUCACGGACACGCAUCUCAAACCUAUGUGCACCACCGUGUCGGCAACCCCUUGGUUUGAUAGGUGUGGGGCUUUCUUUGUCGCACAAACUUUGAAUGCAGUGCUGUAUGCAUUUGUUGUUUUUGCGAUGACGCAAUCAAUAAAACCUUCAACAAGGGAUUGCAUGGCUCUGGCCUCGAUGAAGAACG
rnacentral:misc_RNA from 1 species